ACUUAAAUUGAAGAGUUUGAUCAUGGCUCAGAUUGAACGCUGGCGGCAGGCCUAACACAUGCAAGUCGAGCGGCAGCGGAAAGUAGCUUGCUACUUUGCCGGCGAGCGGCGGACGGGUGAGUAAUGUCUGGGAAACUGCCUGAUGG
rnacentral:rRNA from 1 species